rnacentral:rRNA from 1 species
GACGAACGCUGGCGGCGUGCCUAAUACAUGCAAGUAGAACGCUGAAGGAGGAGCUUGCUUCUCUGGAUGAGUUGCGAACGGGUGAGUAACGCGUAGGUAACCUGCCUGGUAGCGGGGGAUAACUAUUGGAAACGAUAGCUAAUACCGCAUAAGAGUAGAUGUUGCAUGACAUUUGCUUAAAAGGUGCAAUUGCAUCACUACCAGAUGGACCUGCGUUGUAUUAGCUAGUUGGUGGGGUAACGGCUCACCAAGGCGACGAUACAUAGCCGACCUGAGAGGGUGAUCGGCCACACUGGGACUGAGACACGGCCCAGACUCCUACGGGAGGCAGCAGUAGGGAAUCUUCGGCAAUGGACGGAAGUCUGACCGAGCAACGCCGCGUGAGUGAAGAAGGUUUUCGGAUCGUAAAGCUCUGUUGUAUGAGAAGAACGAGUGUGAGAGUGGAAAGUUCACACUGUGACGGUAGCUUACCAGAAAGGGACGGCUAACUACGUG